AGUGAACGCUGGCGGUAGGCCUAACACAUGCAAGUCGAACGGCAGCACAGUAAGAGCUUGCUCUUACGGGUGGCGAGUGGCGGACGGGUGAGGAAUACAUCGGAAUCUACUUUUUCGUGGGGGAUAACGUAGGGAAACUUACGCUAAUACCGCAUACGACCUACGGGUGAAAGCAGGGGAUCUUCGGACCUUGCGCGAUUGAAUGAGCCGAUGUCGGAUUAGCUAGUUGGCGGGGUAAAGGCCCACCAAGGCGACGAUCCGUAGCUGGACUGAGAGGAUGAUCAGCCACACUGGAACGGAGACACGGUGCAGACUCCUACGGGAGGCAGCAGUGGGGAAUAUUGGACAAUGGGCGCAAGCCUGAUCCAGCCAUACCGCGUGGGUGAAGAAGGCCUUCGGGUUGUAAAGCCCUUUUGUUGGGAAAGAAAAGCAGCAGGUUAAUACCCCGCUGUUCUGACGGUACCCAGAGAAUAAGCACCGGCUAACUUCGUG
rnacentral:rRNA from 1 species